UAUCUCUCCGUACGGGGAAGGAUGAGAAGCUUUGACUAAGGUUCGAUUCGAGCGAAAGCGAGAAAGCGUUGCCAACGGCAACGACCCGAAGGGCGAAGCGCGCAGCGCUGAGUCAACCUUCCCCCACCACCA
rnacentral:sRNA from 3 species